rnacentral:misc_RNA from 1 species
AUAAGAGAUUUCAUAUUUGUCACAAUUACCACUGGAACUAUUUUUAAGAUAUUCUGUUGUGCUCCGUUGUUCAUUUAAUGGAUAUGGCUUCCUCAGAAGAAAGGAUUAGUCUGGCUCUGGCUUCAUUGAAAGCUGACUUGGUACGACCUUAAUUAUUCGUUUACCUGUCGUGUUUUUUAUUUGUUUUGCAAUUUAUGCGGAUGUCUUCUUACAAAACGCUUUCAUGCAAUAGUUUUCAUUGAACACUUUUGACUUUUUUGCAGAUGGAUAUGCGGAGUCAAGAUGUCCAGUUGAUGAAGCAGUUGAUUGCUAUUAACACAACCAUCAGCUCCAUGUCCAGUAGCAGACGACCAGCGUUUCCUGUCCACAGAAGCGCCAGCUUCAGCGUCAUCAACAAAGCUCACCCAGACACUUACCAAAACAGACGAUGCUCAGACAGUGCCUGCACCACCAGAAAAGUACUCACAAGACACAACAGCGAACCUGUGCAGACCCACAGCAGCUCCUUAAACUCUAGCAUGGAAGGUGAGCUUCUUUUCUGUGUCAUUUUGAUACAUAAGAAUCAAUGCACUCUUUUUAAUCAACUGACUUAUAAAGAUCUUUUUUUAACAAAUAAAUAAAACUGGAAAAUUUUGCUAUUUUUCAGAGAUCGACAGUAGCUACGAAGAUCUAGCUGGGUCUGACUAUAAUGAUAGUGACAGUGAAUCGUUCACCACCUCCCCACCAUUGGCUGUUUCUAACCGCCGCUCUGUCAGGAAAACGUCUCUUUACUUCAUGAGGCCUCUGCCAGAGGAACACGAUGGCCUUGACGAGAAAAAAUACCAUGGGAUUCUAAUGAAGAACAUCAAAUUGUGGAAAUACUCUCAGGAAUCUUUAGACAGUGCUUACAACACCGGAGAUUGACGAUCUUAUUGCUGGCGCCGUCUGGUGACGCAAAAAAUCGCUGCAGAACUCUUCUGCAUCCGAAGGAGGAAAUAGUGAGCGUUGUAAUUAGUAGUUGAUGAGCCGUCCGCGUAGUGUCGCUAAUGCAGAAGGUGAAACUGAAGUGCCCCUGUCUCAUAUAUCACAGUUUAAUCUGUCUCCUAGUGAAGGCAGCCGCUCUAAUGGCACGAAAAGCUGUACAUGCACUGCUUAUGUAACACAGCUUGCCGAGAGAAUGUGUACAUUAAGGUGAACUUACCGAGAUGUUAACAUGAACUGAACGUUUCGUUCGUGAAAACAACGUACAUGUACCAUUCCAUUGACUAUUGUAUGAUGUACAGUAUUUGUUAGUCAGAAGAUGAAAUCGAUUCUGUCGAUUUUUUUUAUACAAUUGUUAUUUUUUUUAUUGGUUUGUUAAAAGUAAUAAAAUCCCCAAAAAAUG